AAAGUCCGAUCAAUAUCGCCA
rnacentral:siRNA from 1 species